AGCGAACGCUGGCGGCAGGCCUAACACAUGCAAGUCGAACGAACUCUUCGGAGUUAGUGGCGGACGGGUGAGUAACACGUGGGAACGUGCCUUUAGGUUCGGAACAACUCAGGGAAACUUGUGCUAAUACCGAAUGUGCCCUUCGGGGGAAAGAUUUAUCGCCUUUAGAGCGGCCCGCGUCUGAUUAGCUAGUCGGUGAGGUAAAGGCUCACCAAGGCGACGAUCAGUAGCUGGUCUGAGAGGAUGAUCAGCCACAUUGGGACUGAGACACGGCCCAAACUCCUACGGGAGGCAGCAGUGGGGAAUCUUGCGCAAUGGGCGAAAGCCUGACGCAGCCAUGCCGCGUGAAUGAUGAAGGUCUUAGGAUUGUAAAAUUCUUUCACCGGGGACGAUAAUGACGGUACCCGGAGAAGAAGCCCCGGCUAACUUCGUGCCAGCCGCCGCAGUAA
rnacentral:rRNA from 1 species